AUUGAACGCUGGCGGCAUGCCUUACACAUGCAAGUCGAACGGUAACAGGUCUUCGGAUGCUGACGAGUGGCGAACGGGUGAGUAAUACAUCGGAACGUGCCUAGUAGUGGGGGAUAACUACUCGAAAGAGUGGCUAAUACCACAUGAGAUCUACGGAUGAAAGCAGGGGAUCGCAAGACCUUGUGCUACUAGAGCGGCCGAUGGCAGAUUAGGUGGUUGGUGGGAUAAAAGCUUACCAAGCCGACGAUCGGUAGCUGGUCUGAGAGGACGAUCAGCCACACUGGGACUGAGACACGGCCCAGACUCCUACGGGAGGCAGCAGUGGGGAAUUUUGGACAAUGGGCGCAAGCCUGAUCCAGCAAUGCCGCGUGCAGGAUGAAGGCCUUCGGGUUGUAAACUGCUUUUGUACGGAACGAAAAGCCCUGGGUUAAUACCCUGGGGUCAUGACGGUACCGUAAGAAUAAGCACCGGCUAACUACGUGCCAGCAGCCGCCGUAAUAC
rnacentral:rRNA from 1 species